AGCAGCCGCGGUAAUUCCAGCUCCAAUAGCGUAUAUUAAAGUUGUUGCAGUUAAAAAGCUCGUAGUUGAAUUUCGGGAUCAAUACGUCGGUCGUGCCUCGGUACGUACUGGCAUUGUUGGUUUCUACCUUCUGGCGAACCAUGAUGUCAUUUAUUUGGUGUCGUGGGAAAUCAGGACUGUUACUUUGAAAAAAUUAGAGUGUUUAAAGCAAGCUAACGCUUGAAUACAUUAGCAUGGAAUAAUGAAAUAGGACGUUCGAUCCUAUUUUGUUGGUUUCUAGGAUUGACGUAAUGAUUAAUAGGGAUAGUUGGGGGCAUUAGUAUUCAAUUGUCAGAGGUGAAAUUCUUGGAUUUAUUGAAGACUAACUACUGCGAAAGCAUUUGCCAAGGAUGUUUUCAUUAAUCAAGAACGAGAGUUAGGGGAUCGAAGACGAUCAGAUACCGUCGUAGUCUUAACCAUAAACUAUGCCGACCAGGGAUCGGAUGAUGUUAAUUUUUUAAUGUACU
rnacentral:rRNA from 1 species